rnacentral:rRNA from 1 species
UCGGGAAUUUUGGACAAUGGGCGCAAGCCUGAUCCAGCCAUGCCGCGUGGAUGAUGAAGGCCUUAGGGUUGUAAAAUCCUUUCGUUGGGGACGAUAAUGACGGUACCCAAAGAAGAAGCUCCGGCUAACUUCGUGCCAGCAGCCGCGGUAAUACGAAGGGGGCUAGCGUUGUUCGGAUUUACUGGGCGUAAAGCGCGUGUAGGCGGAUUUGUAAGUUGGGGGUGAAAUCCCGAGGCUCAACCUCGGAACUGCCUCCAAAACUACAAGUCUGGACCUAAGUAGAGGCAAGUGGAAUUGCGAGUGUAGAGGUGAAAUUCGUAGAUAUUCGCAGGAACACCAGUGGCGAAGGCGGCUAUCUGGUCGAGUACUGACACUGAGACACGAAAGCAUGGGGAUCAAACAGGAUUAGAUACCCCGGUAGUCCCUGAGCGGGCUGGCAAGGCGCAU